GCUGGGCACAAUGGCACAUGCCUGUAAUCCCAGCAGCUCAGGAGUCUGAGGCAGGAGGAUUGUAAGUUCAAAGGCAGCCUCAGCAACUUAAUGAGGCCCUAAGCAAUCCAGUAAGACCCUGUCUCUA
rnacentral:sRNA from 1 species